UAUUGCCUUCCUGAGGCUGCGAAAGAAUGACUAACCCAAGACCACUGAGUUGGCUUUGUGCCUAGAACUCAGUCUCCUGGUUUAUAGCUUGCACACAGGAAAUAAUCAGAAGGACCAGAGAGUCCAUUAAUCUAAUAUUUAUUGAAUAAGAAGAGGUGCAUGGAGUUGGACUGUCUCCCAUUAGCUCCAGCCUGAAUGACCAAAGAUCAGAGAUGAUGGAUGCUGAAAUCUAAUAAGCCACAGAUAUCCAUCAAGUGAAAAACUGCCCAUUCAGAAGCAUCAUCUUGGGCACGUCCAUCUGUAAACACAACUGACACCCUGGGAAUAUUUGCUGAGAUGCGCCUGGC